UGAUAUAUACACACUGAUACAGAUGCAGGCACCCACAGAUUUGAAGGAUUUCUGAAUUUACAGCACGCGCAACUAACUGUUUAAUUAUGUAGAAAAAAAUAGAUGUAAAAGAAGUUUAAUGCCAAAUAACAGUGAAAUCUGGCUCUUGAGAACUUUGGCCUGGAACAUGAGUCUGAGCAACAGAAAUGCCGGAUUUACAGCACGUUGAAGGAACAUCUGCUAUCAAUGCCAUUGCAAGAUCAUUACUGCCAUUAAAGGGUGUGGCCACUUGGAAUUUAGGCAAGACUUCAGACGCUUCUGGCAUAGCACAGCACAGCCAGCUGGAAUAAACCAUGAAGGAAAAGGAUCUUGGACAAAAGUACCAGGCAGCCUCAGAGGAAGACCCUCCAGAGAAAGCUCACGAGCUACCUCCAUUACACUGAGGGAAAAAGCAACACUCACCCAGAUGAUGUCACAAGAGUCCUGUAUGAGCAAACAGAGCACCCCAACCUGGAUCACACCUGGCGAACGGGGUAAAAUCCUCCAGCAGAGCCACACAACUCUUCCCCUGCUCAAAGGCAGACAGCACCAGGAAGGUUCAAGCCUCCAGAUUCCUCAAACAUGAGCCUGCUAUCUCUGCAACACUCUCGGGCUGACUACAUUAGAAACAAGAGAACUCCACAAAACACUCUCAUGUAAUUCCUCACAUCAUUACUGAUGGACUAACCAAGCCAUCUCAGAGAAUUCCCCCGUUCAUUUAGCUUUCUGUAAAAUAUCCAGCCCUUACAGUGCAAGAACAAUACAAAUGGAUAAUCAGGGGUAUUGAUUUCAUAAUGAUUAAUGGAUAUUGUACGGUAUCUUUUUGCACUCUGCGUUCCUUACACAGCCAAGGCUCCCAAUAACGUCACAGGGAGUUUCUCAAGUGAAGAAUGCUGGACUAGGUAACUGUUUUUGCACUUCAGGGCAUCUUGUUCCAUUUGUUUUGUGCAUAAUAAAAGCUCAUACUUGUACAGUAAUUUAGCAUUUCUGAAUAAACAGAAAUUGUGAUUCAUAAUUCUCCAUCUUCUUGUCCUCAUUUCUUAAAAAAAAAUAAAUGAGUCACUGUUGUUUAAUCCGAUAAUUAUGCAAACACUAAAUCUUACACUGGAGGAGAAAAUGUUAACACAUAUUGAAAAACCAAAAUGCAUAGAACUAUAAUCUGUAUGAUAAAAUGCAUUACUCUGUUUAAAAGGAUUGUUUUACAGAAGCAAUUAACA
rnacentral:lncRNA from 1 species